rnacentral:rRNA from 1 species
UACGAAGGGGGCUAGCGUUGCUCGGAAUUACUGGGCGUAAAGCGCACGUAGGCGGCUUUCUAAGUCGGGGGUGAAAUCCCGGAGCUCAACUCCGGAACUGCCUUUGAUACUGGCAAUCUAGAGUCCGGAAGAGGUGAGUGGAACUCCUAGUGUAGAGGUGGAAUUCGUAGAUAUUAGGAAGAACACCAGUGGCGAAGGCGGCUCACUGGUCCGGUACUGACGCUGAGGUGCGAAAGCGUGGGGAGCAAACAGG